UACGGGGGGGGCAAGCGUUGUUCGGAAUUACUGGGCGUAAAGGGCUCGUAGGUGGCCAACUAAGUCAGACGUGAAAUCCCCAGGCUUAACCUGGGAACUGCGUCUGAUACUGGAUGGCUUGAAUUCGGGAGAGGGAUGCAGAAUUCCAGGUGUAGCGGUGAAAUGCGCAGAUAUCAGGAGGAACACCGGUGGCGAAGGCGGGUCUCUGGGCAACAACUGACGCUGAGGAGCGAAAGCGUGGGGAGCGAACAGG
rnacentral:rRNA from 1 species